rnacentral:rRNA from 1 species
AUUGAACGCUGGCGGCAUGCCUAACACAUGCAAGUCGAACGAGUGGCGGACGGGUGAGUAAUGUCUGGGAAACUGCCUGAUGGAGGGGGAUAACCACUGGAAACGGUAGCUAAUACCCCAUACCAUCAGAUGUUCCCAGAUGGGAUUAGCUUGUUGGUGGGGUAACGGCUCACCAAGGGGACGAUCCCCAGCCGGUCUGCGAGGAGGACCGGCAACACUGGAACUGGGACACGGUCCAGACUCCUACGGGAGGCAGCAGUGGGGAAUAUUGCAAAAUGGGGGCAAGCCUGAUGCAGACAGGCCGCUUGUAUGAAGAAGGCCUUCGGGUUGUAAGGUACUUUCAGCGGGAAGGCGUUACCCGCAGAAGAAGCACCGGCUAACUCCGGGCCAGCAGCCGCGGUAAUUC